CAGCAGCCGCGGUAAUACGGAGGGUGCAAGCGUUAAUCGGAAUUACUGGGCGUAAAGCGCACGCAGGCGGUUUGUUAAGUCAGAUGUGAAAUCCCCGAGCUUAACUUGGGAACUGCAUUUGAAACUGGCAAGCUAGAGUCUUGUAGAGGGGGGUAGAAUUCCAGGUGUAGCGGUGAAAUGCGUAGAUAUCUGGAGGAAUACCGGUGGCGAAGGCGGCCCCCUGGACAAAGACUGACGCUCAGGUGCGAAAGCGUGGGGAGCAAACAGGAUUAGAUACCCCUGUAGUCCCUGUCUCUUAUAC
rnacentral:rRNA from 1 species